rnacentral:rRNA from 1 species
UACGGGGGGGGUAAGCGUUGUUCGGAAUUACUGGGCGUAAAGGGCUCGUAGGCGGCCAACUAAGUCAUACGUGAAAUCCCUCAGCUUAACUGUGGGCGUGCGGUCGAUACGGGCAUCACUGGAGUUCGGUAGGGGAGAAUGGAAUUCCCGGUGUAGCGGUGAAAUGCGCAGAUAUCGGGAGGAACACCAGUGGCGAAGGCGGCACUCUGGGCCGGUACUGACGCUGAGGAGCGAAAGCGUGGGGAGCGAACAGG